ensembl:snRNA U6 U6 spliceosomal RNA
GUGUUCGCUUCAGCAGCAUAUAUACUAAAAUCAGAAAGAUACAGAGAUUAUGAGCAUACCCCUGCUCAAGCAUGACACGCAAAUUAGUGAACCGUUCCAUAUUUUU